UGGCGGACGGUGAGUAACGCGUGGGUAACCUGCCCCAUACCGGGGGAUACCACCUGGAAACAGGUGCUAAUACCGCAUAAGCGCACGGGAGCGCAUGCUCUGUGUGAAAAACUCCGGUGGUAUGGGAUGGACCCGCGUCUGAUUAGCCAGUUGGCAGGGUAACGGCCUACCAAAGCGACGAUCAGUAGCCGGCCUGAGAGGGUGGACGGCCACAUUGGGACUGAGACACGGCCCAAACUCCUACGGAAGGCAGCAG
rnacentral:rRNA from 1 species